GGGUGGUAGAUUCUUAUACGAGUUCCCUAUCACCUAAAAUGGUGGAGUGUUUGGUCUGCUCAAGUGAUUGGCUGAGGGCUACAACACCUAACUUCUACAAGGAACCAACUGUGGCUGAGCUGGAGCAGUAUCGCGAGCUAGAAGCAAUGGAGAGAGAAACUGCUGGACUUAGAUUGGAUGAACCAAGCUCUUCUACGACCACUGCUGCAACAUACGAAGAUGCAUAGUUCAGUUUUCUGUCGGUGCAAAGGUUUUGCGACAUCCCCAUAAUGGAGAAGAUGAAGUGAUGGAUGAUCAGAACAUUAAAGCAACCUAACUUGUAUUUUGUUCAGUUUUAUUUGUA